rnacentral:rRNA from 1 species
AUUAAUUUAAAAUUCUCUGGAGUAGUAAAAGUUACGAUCUUUAAACUCAAAAGAUUUGGCGGUAUUUUAUCUUAUUAGAGGAACUUGUUUAUUAAUUGAUAAUCCCCAACUAUCAUUUACUUUUUAUUAUUAUAUUUGUAUACCGCUGUCAUGAAUAUACUAAAAAGUUUAUUUUCAAUUAUUUUUAAUUUAAUUUAUGUUAGGUCAAGGUGCAGUUUUAAAAAGAGUUGAUGAGUUACACUAAAUCAGAUGAAUGGAUUAAUAAAAAUUAAUUUAUAAUGAAAAAGGAUUUAACAGUAAAUUUAUUUAUAGUAAUAUAAUGAAUUUAGAUUCUAAAAUAUGU